rnacentral:rRNA from 1 species
GUGCAGCAGGCGCGAAACCUCCGCAAUGCGGGAAACCGCGACGGGGGACCCCGAGUGCCGUGGCAACGCCACGGCUUUUCCGGAGUGUAAAAAGCUCCGGGAAUAAGGGCUGGGCAAGGCCGGUGGCAGCCGCCGCGGUAAUACCGGCGGCCCGAGUGGUGGCCGCUAUUAUUGGGCCUAAAGCGUCCGUAGCCGGGCCCGUAAGUCCCUGGCGAAAUCCCACGGCUCAACCGUGGGGCUUGCUGGGGAUACUGCGGGUCUUGGGACCGGGAGAGGCGGGGGGUACCCCUGGGGUGGGGGUGGAAAUCCUAUAAUCCCAGGGGGACCGCCAGUGGCGAAGGCGCCCCGCUGGAACGGUCCGACGGUGAGGGACGAAGGCCAGGGGAGCAAACCGGAUUAGAUACCCGUGUAGU